rnacentral:rRNA from 1 species
UUUUGUGGUCAAGUUUUUAAGAGCACACGGUGGAUGCCUUGGCAUUAGGAGCCGAAGAAGGACGUAGGAAUCUGCGAUAA